rnacentral:tRNA from 1 species
GGGCUGGGGCUCAGCGGUAGAGCUCUUGCCUAGCAUAUGCAAGGCCCUGGGAUUGAUCCUCAGCACCACA